CCUACGGUGGGCAGCAGUGAGGAAUAUUGGUCAAUGGACGAGAGUCUGAACCAGCCAAGUAGCGUGAAGGAUGACUGCCCUAUGGGUUGUAAACUUCUUUUAUAUGGGAAUAAAAUGUUCCACGUGUGGGAUUUUGUAUGUACCAUAUGAAUAAGGAUCGGCUAACUCCGUGCCAGCAGCCGCGGUAAUACGGAGGAUCCGAGCGUUAUCCGGAUUUAUUUGGUUUAAAGGGAGCGUAGGUGGAUUGUUAAGUCAGUUGUGAAAGUUUGCGGCUCAACCGUAAAAGUGCAGUUGAAACUGGCAGUCUUGAGUACAGUAGAGGUGGGCGGAAUUCGUGGUGUAGCGGUGAAAUGCUUAGAUAUCAGGAGGAACACCGGCGGCGAAGGCGGCUUACUGGACUGUAACUGACGUUGAGGCUCGAAGGCGUGGGGAGCAAACAGGAUUAGAUACCCCUGUAGUC
rnacentral:rRNA from 1 species